rnacentral:misc_RNA from 1 species
UCACCUCACUCUCGUUGGCCCUUCCACUUUUCGCACGCUUAUCUGCGUUCUCCGUUGUGCCUGGACAGCGGUGCAUUGGCCCUCCUUUUUUUGUGUUUAUCGCUUGUCUUCGGACCCUUCCGCCGGACCUGUACGCUGGCUUGGUGUUGUCGGCGUGCGCUUCGAAAAGCAUGCGGGCGGUCGGAGACGCUGCCGAGGGUCAUACGCGCACAUGCACACACGCAUACCCAUAUACCUCUGCGUCUCCAGCCUGUCUGUCGAACGGCUCACUUGGGCAUUUCACGCGGGAAAAAUAAUUUUUCUAUUCUCUCUGUGCUUCAUCUCUUCGUGUUUGGGUCUCCGCGGCUGCCAAACGUGGGGUUACGUGGAAGGAAGAGAGAGUGCAAGACGGGUGCAGGGGAGAUGGGAUAAGGGGUAGCUUUCGUCUUUCUUGUCUGUGCGCUCCUCUUCUUUUUCGUCGUCGCUGCUUUCGUGUCCCUCGUCGUUCGCGGAAACUUCGGUCACGAGGAAGGCGGCAGCAACGAGUCAGUAGAAGAGCAACUCAUAGAAGAAGUCGGACUGCCCUGGCAGGCUGCCUCUCCUCGGUGCCGCUGCGUGUGACCGUUCGUGUGCGCUCACACGUGUCGGCGCUGCUUUACGGGGAGCCAUCGCUGCUUCGCUUCCGUUUGACGCCUUUUUUGAUUGCCCCUUUCGUGGUGGCGUUGCCCUGUCUGCCUGUCUCUCUGUCCGUCUGUCUGCCACUGUGUGUGCGUGUGUCUUUUCCAGGCGCUUCUUUUCAUUUUCGUGCCUUGGAGGGUUCGAAGGGUCGCAGUGGAAGUUAUCGUCGUCCUUACAGGUACUGCCAGAGUAUUGCAGAGCACGGACGUGGUGUGGAUAGCGUCCCUGCUCCUCUUCGCGGAACUGCAGGCGCCGAUAAGGCGCCAUCGACCCUUCUCUCUUGCUGUGAACCGCGGGCUGCUCGUCUUUGUUGGUGUUGUCGUCGUUUUGUCACGAUCCGAUGGGCUUCUUUUCGCUGCUCUCUGGCGGCGUUGUGAAGGCUACUGAGGGAAAGGAUGCGCGGGCGCACCGCGAGCGAACGAAUAUGUCAGCUUCGAGCGCCCAAGCAGACGGCGACGAUUCGCAUACGAAAGUGGUUUUGAGCACACCGGUCCGGCGGGUGCCUGCCAUGAACACGCAAUGCAAGGAGGAGCCAAAACGGUCGCGGCUGCACACUGUCGCGGUGCCGGUGAAGCGGGAUCGACUCUCUCUCUGGAGUCGACUGCUAUGCCGGCCGGAGGUGUACGACCCGCACGUGGAAGCAGCCCCGAUGACGUAUCUGCUCGAUGUGAACGAACCUCAUGCCAUGGUUAAUGAUGUGGAACGGGCAGACGUGCAGAAUGAGGAACACGCGGCAGUGUGCACGGAGAGCGAAGGGGAUUUGCCGCAGAGGCGAUACUCCGUGCGUGCCUCCAUCGGAGAGGGGUGUCGUGCCCGCACCCCACUACCAAAGGACGACGUCGAGCACCUUGAUGAUCCUGAGGACACCGUGAUGUCAUGCUGCAUGGCGAACGCUAGCAGUGAUGUAGAGGAGUUCGAGGAUGCGGAGGUGCAGAGCGAUGUUGCAGAGGCCAACGCAGGAGCGCCUCUCCUGCACCGGCAAGUAUUUCACGUCUUCGACACGCGGCGGUGCCGGGUGCGCACGCCGACUCUGCUGUGGAGCCCAACCUUGGCCGAUAACUUCAGCGUUACAGCACCAAUUCCAGCCGGCGGAAAUGCUCCUCCAACGGAUACGACGGAAAGCGGUGCCGCGUCUUCGCGUGGUUUGCGCCUCUCCACGGAGCGGCGGCUCAUCUCACGGGAGGAGCUUACAAAGAAGCGCCUGCAGAGGCGUCAGCAAUUGAAAGAGGCCGCGAAGCGUGAACGCGAGUACAAGGAAGCGUGGGCGGCGCUCGUUGCCUCUGCGGGGCCGCACGCAAGCAGUCCUGAAGAAGACGAGAUGGGUAGGCGAACAGAAGUGCAUAAUGCAGAAGAAAGAGGCUUGCAGAGUACUGCCGCCGCUGGUGCUGCAGCCACCCCUGCUGUGAUUUCCUCGUCUCUGACCAAUGAGGCUCUUGAGUCCUUGCGCGAAGGCACGCAGCCGCUGUCCUACGAUCUUCCCGAGACGUUCCUCGCAAGACUGGGCCACUAUACACAGUUGCCCAAGAAGGCGAAGGGCGGCGCUGGGGAGGCGGCAGCGCUUGCGCAGGACAGCGACCGCGCUGGGAGUUGCUCCAGUCGCUCUAGCAACGGCAGCAGUCAGAUCGCGCUCGACGACGAGCAUGUGAAUGUGGAAACGGGACUCCCGCUCAUGUACGGCUCCAUCUUGAGAUGCCGGAACUCCACCUCGAAGACGAGGGACGUCAGCGGCGAAGCUGCAGCCUCUCGCACUCCCCGAGGGGCGACCGCGGUGCGAGGUGGAAGCCAGCGCCUUCCCGCUGGAAAGUACCUGCUUGGCUCUCGUGCCUAUGUAGAGCGUGUGCUGUUUGCGCAGCGCCGCCAACAGGAAUGUGCGCUGUUUGCUCUCAUCACAGAGGCUCAUCGCCAGGCGCGCGAGGCCCACCGCCGUCUUGCGCAGCUCUACUACUAUUACAUCAUCCCCAUUCUGGCUCAGUACAGCACGGAGAACGAGAUCAGAGGGCUGGAGCGGUCGCUGCUGCAGUGCGGCUCUGGCGCGCUGCGUGCGUACCACUCGGAGUUCUGCCGCACUGUAGGGUAUAGCCGAAGCGAGUCGCAGUCGAGCGUUUCUGGCGGUACUUCAGGUUCCAUUGCCUGCUGUUUCCAAGUGCAGCCGGUCGACUACCAGCUGGCUGAGUAUCGCUUCGAGAGCGUGUGGCGAGAGCUGUUUACGGACGUAAAGGCGUACCUUGGUAUGCAAGCCUGCGAGGAUGACGGAUUUUCUACGUUGCCGUCACUUUCGGAGCUGGAGGACGGCGCUGCUGCCUCGAGCGGCACUACUUCCGCCGGCCACGGGUCCGUGUGCGUUGCCGCUACGGUGCUCCACUCCAUGGAAUUGUUUGAGCGUCAGCGGCACACUUACAGCGCUGCGCGCGACGCGGAGGAGUGGCUGGCUUGGUACUACUAUUACUUUACCCCUCACGUGCAGCGCGCCGACUCUGCCGAGGAGCGGGCGGCAAUCCAGCGGAGUUUGCUUCCCCCACCGCCAUCACCGUCAUCAACGUCGGUAUGCCAAACAGAGCCAAAAUACGGCGAUGGGCGCUCGCAGAUCCGUGCCAAUGAUCCGGAGCCGCUGCAGCCACACCCGCUAGAGAACGAAUAUCUUCCAUUGUGCUGGACGCUGGCGUGCAACACAGCACAGAGGGAGAAGGUGCUGAGCUACCGCCGGGACCUGAAACUGCGGGCCAUCGAAAGCUCCCUCAAGCAGCGAUCAGUUGCAGUGGGCGACAGCGCUGCUGCGAGGGCUACCGAUUGCACCGGUACAGCCAGCGAAACGGACUCUGCGUCCGCGACGACCGUCAACACUGUCAAGCCAACCUGUGAGACGGUCGGUGCCAACGUGGCGACUGCAUCUUCCGAAUGCCAUCUGCUGAAGCACGUGCCAGAAAAUGGCGACUUGGUCGACAGCGCGCACAAGACGGAGGCAAGCGGGCUGAUCGAAAAGGACGUGGAAGCGGACCUUGAGGAAGCCAGUCUACUAAAGCCCUCGUUACAACUCCUUUCAGACGGUGCGAUCAGCAGGCAGAACCAUGGCGUCGUCGAAGUAGAGGACGUGGACUCAGAGGAGACGGAGGACGACGAUGGUGCCAUCCCUGCUGGUACGCACCACACUGUGAACGUUGGCUGCUUCGGCCUUUCGUUUUUUUCCAUCUUUGAGUAAGCAAGACGAUCCAUCCAAAUACACGCACGCACGCACGCACACACAGCGAAGUUCCCAACCGCCCGCCAUCACUGCACUCGAGUUCCGCGGGCACCUCGUCGCCAUGUGCGUGUAGGCGUGCGCGAUUUUGAUCGCUCGCGCUACGCUGCAUACCUACACAUAUACCUACAUGUGUAGGUGUGCAUUCAUAUGUAUAGUUCUAUAUCGAUGUACGUGCUUGUGUUUGUGUGCGUGUGGUUCUCUUGUGUGUACGUGUUGCGGUGUUGUUUGUUUAUUUCUGUGCUUGUCUCGCUCUCUUCUCCAGACUACCACCCCCGCUCUUUUCCGUUGUCUGCUGCGUUUCCAUCCAUCCAUUCACCCACCCAUUUCCUCUUCUUUCUACACGGUUGCUCUCUUUCUUUUCUUUGAAUCCUCUUUAAUUUCGCUUGUUGUUUCUGUGGUUCUUCUCUUUUCUGGUCCGCGUGUGUCUCCGGCUCGUUGCUUCUCCGCCGCUUCGCGUGCCCUGCUUUUUGCUUUCAAGUGGGUGCGUGUGUGGCUGUGCCGGUGUGUGGUGUUGCUGUUUUCUUUUUUUUUUGCCUAAUCAUGGCGUGCGACAAUGGUACAGUCAAAAUGGGAACCAAACUCUCUCUCUAUUUUUCACCUGUUUCUGUCGCAGGUGUUUCGCCUUUUAGUGGUGGUACCGUCCCCGUCCUCCUGCCGGAGUUUGCGUGAUUGGGAGAGGCACACUUGCCAUGCCGCGUAUGUGUGCAUGUGUGCGCUCGUCCUGUAGGCGCCCACGCGUUUCUCCGGAAAUGUUUUUUUAUAUAUCGAUUUGAUUCGUUUCCUGUGCGCAAGCGUUUUUGAUUUUGUGGUUAUUUCUUUUUUUUUAACAAGUUCGACUUUAACCUUCUCCGAAUGCUUCGUGCCGUUCUUCUUCAUUGUGUGCGCGGAGCAUCGAUAUUUUUGUUUUCUUGGUGUUUCGUACUUGACCUCGAGACAGGUUGCAUCCUCAGACACACACACACACACACACACGCAUCGCCCUUCCUCUUGCCGGGAUGUCGAUCGUUGUCAAGGUGUCGCAGUGCGUGCUAGUGCCAGUGCAGAGUGGCGGUGCCAUGGUAGCCAUGCGUGUGUGCACUCCCUCUCUUGCUUCUUGUUCCCAGCCAUGCCUCCACCGCCCUUCCUCCCCCCUGUUAGCCACGUACUGGAGAGCACACCGAAAAGGAACCCCUAAAAUAAAGCGCUGCGUGCUUUCAUGUCUAACGCCUCUUUUUCUCGAUUUGCUUCUGAGGCGCAUUAAGCGAAGACAUGCACUGACAUCAUAUCUGUUUUUUUUUUUUCGUUGCUGCGCUUCCUGAUGACGAACGGACACGCCUUUACGUGGGAUCUCAGGCUUCAGUGCCCCCUUCCCCCUCCCCCCACUCUGUACGUGGGCGGAAGCCAAGCAGCCCUCCUCCCCUCCAUCCCCCUGCCAGGCGCUGAGCUACUUCUGGUGGUGGCAGGGCGGCGCACCUACCUACGUAGGGAGAGGUCAGAGCGAUGCACGGCUACUGACGUCGGCAGUGAGGUCCUGGCUGGCGUCGCGUCGAAGGGACCUGCGACAGUGGACGCGCUUGUGCCAUCGAUGUGAUGGGCAGGGUGUGCCAGCUUGACUCGGACGCACCCCACCCCCGGCAUUCACUGCCUACUGGUGAGGAAUCUGAGCGAUCGCGAGGGACGCACCACUUGGUGACUGACAUAGUGUGAGCGAUUGCUAGGCGACCUGCAUAUAGGGCGGGGUGCGUACCGCUUGAGCCAGAGACCGUGCUCCGAUGGCUGAGUCGGCACAUUGCCGUAGCGCGGGCUUGCCACUGCUCUGCACGAAUCGAUGAGGGUCUGUGACGGGCCGGGGGUGGAGCGACGUUCAAGUCAUGUAUGGGAGAGAAGUGUACCCGUGGAAAGCAAAGGGCUAGUGCGCUGCAUCAAGUAAGCGCUUAGCGGAUGAAAAAAAAAUGAAUCAACCGCAAGCCGUUAGUGGGAGGGGGGCGCCGUAAGCAUCUUCUGGCGCCACCCGGCUCAUGCACGUAGGAGAAUCAUUCAGGCACGUGCCUUCCUGCAGGUGGUGGUCUGUCGUGCGACUGGUAGUUGUGUGAGAAGGGCGCAGUUUUACUGUUUACGUGUGUAUUGGUUUUCUGCCCAGCCCCCCUCCCUUUCUCUGUUUCUCUGCACGUGCAAGAAGAAGCGGUGCAAGAGACGAAGAGAGAGAGAAGUUGUCUCUACAUCUUUGCCGUUGUUUGAGCUCUCGCGGAGAGAAGCGAACAACACCCCCCCCACCCCCGUGUCGCUGACCUGCUGUACUCUGAACUUGCCGAUUUGCUGAACACUUUCCUUCCCGUUCUCUGGGGCCUAGCUUCAUACUACCUACCUAAGCGUUUCCUUGUUUUUUUUUUGUUGUUGUGUUUUGUGUAUUGCCGUGCUACACGUCGCUUGGCUGGUGGGCGAGUCCGACGAAGCCCGUGCGCUGUGAUGUGGUUGUCUUUUGUUUUCUGCUUUACUUCCAAGCGAGUCGACACGCCGUUGGGUACUGCCCGUGUCAUUCACGCGGCCCACCGCCACGAGGCGCAUGUGCAUGUUGAGCAUAGCAGCGACGUAAGCACACACACACACACACAAAGCAAAUAUGGGCACGUAGUGGAGCAUGAGUGUGACGCAGCCGAAGGGAAGUCCAAGGAAGCGCUGAUGUGUGGACGGUGCUGUAAGAGGGCCACGACACACCUCUUUCUUGAACCUUCUGUGAACUCUUCUCGGGCCACUCUUUUUUCCUUGUCUGCUUCGCUGGCUUUAUCCUCUGAAGCGACGAUAGAAGGAACGUGUCAACUGGCGAGUAGGGAACCUGUGGGGUGUAUGCAAAACGGAAGAGAAAAACGAUAGCUGAUUUAUCAUGCAACACGAUUGAUGUUUGGAAACCAAGUAUGCCCAUGGACACGAGUGGAUCACACAUGGAGGGCAAGACUCUCUGUCUUUUCGCGAUGUGCACCUGUGUGUUGAUAGUGACCACUUGAGCAUCGACUUGAAGUCCUUUCUGUCGCAUGGAAUGAACAACAAGACAAUGAUUUCUCUCUCUCUCUGUGUGUGUGUGUGUGGCUGCUGUGUGUGCGCGUGUUUGUGUGCGGUCCUCUUGGUGCUGUCAUUGCGCGUUUCGCCUCCGACACUGGAGCACCAAUGAACAUCUUCAUUGUCACCGCGUUGGGCAGGCUUCUUCCGCUUGCCGCGCUCCGCUUUCUUUUUGGUUUCCAUCGAAUGACUGCGAGCAGCGCACUUUUUUUCUUGUGGUGGUGGUGUCGGGGUGUGUGAGCUACACGUGCUCGGCCUGCAUCAGCGACUCUUUUCUCCCCCCCCCGCCACUCCCGCCCCGUGCCGGUUGUUAUUUUGUCCAACUUCGACGUUCAUUGCCUUUCUUUAUUUUGUUUUGGGUGUGCCUUUAUCUGUUCACAGUUGUGUCGUUCUUUAUGCUUGUUUGUGCUGCCUGCUUCGCUUUUCGAUGCUCUCGGUGCUGAAGACGUCAACGGAGGCUUGACGGGAGUAGCUGCGAAGCUCUCCAUCACUCGCGCACCACUGCUGCGUGGGCGCUGGGGGAAUGGUCAUCGUUUUAUUGUGCUCUUACGUGAAGGCGGCGCGGUGGAUGAAUGCGCGCAGGCAAGCACCAUUCGCGUACCGGUGCCAGCGUGGGACCUUGUCGUCACGCAUCUUGCGCGUACGUCUUCUCACGACACACCCCGCGCUUUCCUUAUUUGGGAGGCAUCGCAAUCUCCUCCGUCGAACGCCUGCGGCGCCAGAGUCCAUCCUAGAUGCUGUGAUACGAG